GUAGCACCUUAGAGACCAACUAAGUUUGUUCUUGGUGUAAGCUUUCGUGUGCAUGCAUGUGUGCAUCUGAAGAAGUGUGCAUGCACAUGAAAGCUUAUACUAAGAACGAACUUAGUUGGUCUCUAAGGUGC